CUGUCCUACGGGGGGCAGCAGUGGGGAAUAUUGGGCAAUGGAGGCAACUCUGACCCAGCAACGCCGCGUGAGCGAUGAAGGUCUUCGGAUUGUAAAGCUCUUUAAGUGGGGGCGAAGAAAGUGACUGUACCCACAGAAUAAGCCUCGGCUAACUACGUGCCAGCAGCCGCGGUAAUACGUAGGAGGCAAGCGUUAUCCGGAAUGACUGGGCGUCAAGGGUGCGUAGGAGGUUUGGCAAGUUGGUAGCGUAAUUCCGGGGCUCAACCUCGGAUCUACUACCAAAACUGUCGGGCUUGAGUGCAGGG
rnacentral:rRNA from 1 species